rnacentral:lncRNA from 1 species
AAGGGUCGAGUGCGGAUCCCUUGCCCCAGCGGCUAUUCGCCUGCGCACUCGGUCCAUCCCUGGCUCACUACACGAAGCGACGGCGUGGCCCAGUUGGGUGCGGGAAUAGCCGGAUCCGGCCUUAACAACCGGAAAAACCAUUGAGCGCGGGACGCACUCGGCUGUAGGUACGCCGCCCAAACAAGGUCACACCGAGAGACACACGUCCACGAACAGACCAGAGUUCUUCCCGCAAUCCAUCAGACACGCACUGCCAUGGAAAGGUCACGGAAAUCGCAUGGCAGUGUUCACCAAAAUCCAAAUCCAAGCCCAAUCCGUCCCUAGUCCCGCCCCUUGCGAAUCCGCUUGCGGAUUUGUGGGGGUGGGGUGUGGGGCGGCUGGGUGGGAGUUUGAUCAUAACACAAACACGAAACCAAACCAAACACCACCACCCUUUGCGUUCGGCAAAUCACCUCCGGCUGCGAUUAAGGGGCUCAGUGCCAGGGGUUAAUCGGAGCACACUCGACCGAUUUCCGUGACAUACGUCUCUAGCCAAAUGCGGCAGAGAUCGGAGGGCGCGCCCGACGCCACCAGUCGUGGGCUAUGCAAUGGAUUGAACGAAACAUGCGCCAGAGCCAAUUUUUAUAUUUGACCAUUAAGAAAAACCUAUGAUUUUGCUUUACGAUUCGACCCACUAUCAUCCCAGAUUGCGUAGCCUCCGGCGUCCUUGGCGACGCGACGUCGUCGUCCGGACCAUCCUCCAGCACGCCUUCCAAAAUUGGCGUUCACUGGAUCGAUUAGCCCCCAGCAAAUUGAAUCGCAGCCCGCAGGAGAUUUGGUUAUUAUCGCCUCAUUUCGUACAAAGAGAAACCGCAACAAGGAAACACUGCACAUCGUUUUUUACACCCUUGCGUUAUGUUUUUUGAAUGUAUUUAAAAACAAAAACAAAAUGAAAAACCAAAACCAAAUAAUGAAAAACAAAAUAUGAAAACACACAAAACACUGAAAAAAAAAACCAAAAAUAGAAUGUAAGUUUAAAUAAUAUGCUAUUCAAAGAAAUCCAAAACAUGAUUACCCAUAAAAC